UAUGCGGAAAUGAAAUUGAAUGUUACUUCGAACACGUUCUUCUACAAAAUAACCGACCUGUAUUUAGUGUUAUUGCUUCAACAUCAAUCGAAGCAAAAAUAGCAUCAAUGUAUGCGUCUAAAAAUGUUAAAUUUAGAUGGAGACAAUCCAGAAAUGAGCUGCCAGGAAGUGAUCGAUUUCGGACACGAAGAUUGAGAAGUGCCUGGAUACAAGGCUUGUAUUGUUAACAUCAUCUGAUACAAUCAACUGGAACAAAGCUGAAAUGGCUGCCUGACCUGGCUUAAAAAUCGGAUGGCAGUACAUCAGACUAGAAGAUUACAAGUAUUGAGAUGGACAAAAUGAAACCUGAGCCUACCAAAGCUGACAGAUUGCACAAGAAACACAUAAAUGCAGAAACCAUAUUGAGGAGCUGGUCCACCUGUAGGAAGAAUUGCGCUAUUGGUUGGAGCAGCACUAUUCCCCAGCCAUACACCAGCACUUAGUUUGUUAUAGGGAGCAUUUCUGAGCAGUUAUGGAGACCACUAACUUUGCAGUUGUUGCAGUGAAACUUGCACCAGUGUGUUUUCUGUGGAGAUAAAGAGAUAGUGUCCAGCAAUGAAGACCCAACUCAAGAUCUGACCUUGUAAGGCCAAUAUGAAAUAACUGUGUGGGAAAAUGGGAAAAACCUGCAGUCAGGAAUGCACGGAAAUCAUCAAAAGAACAGUGUUAAAUUAAUCUUGAAUAACUUGACAUUUAUUUUGUUUGACAUAUUUAUUUAUGGUGCAGUGAAAACAUGCUUUUUUCCUCAUGGUUAUUUAAAUUUAGAAUUGAUAGGAGAGAACAUCACUAUGUCGUUUCAUGUUCAUAGUCAGAUCAAAACCCAUGUACAUGUCCAAAUGAGCAUUCGAAAAUA